rnacentral:rRNA from 1 species
AUCUACAGCCAUACCACCCUGAAAGUGCCCAAUCUUGUCUGAUGUUGGAAGUUAAGCAGGGUCAGGCCUCAUUGGUACCUGGAUG